GUGCUCACUUCGGCAACACAUAUACUAAAAUUGAAACGAUCCAGAGAAGAUUAGCAUGGCUCCUGCCAAGGAUGACACGCAAAUCUGUGGAGCAUUCCAUAUUAAA